CCCAGACUCCUACGGGAGGCAGCAGUGGGGAAUAUUGCACAAUGGGGGGAACCCUGAUGCAGCGACGCCGCGUGGGUGAAGGAGCACCUCGGUGCGUAAAGCCCUAUCGGCAGGGAAGAAACAGACGGUACCUGACUAAGAAGCCCCGGCUAACUACGUGCCAGCAGCCGCGGUAAUACGUAGGGGGCAAGCGUUAUCCGGAUUUACUGGGGGUAAAGGGAGCGUAGACGGCUAUGCAAGUCUGGAGUGAAAGGCGGGGGCCCAACCCCCGGACUGCUCUGGAAACUGUAGAGCUAGAGUGCAGGAGAGGUAAGUGGAAUUCCUAGUGUAGCGGUGAAAUGCGUAGAUAUUAGGAGGAACACCAGUGGCGAAGGCGGCGUACUGGGCUGUAACUGACGUUGAGGCUCGAAAGCGUGGGGAGCAAACAGGAUUAGAUACCCGGGUAUAA
rnacentral:rRNA from 1 species